rnacentral:lncRNA from 1 species
UAAUCGCAAAGUUUUUUCCUCACGCGCAUUUUGGAAAACCAUCGAUUAAUUCGAAGUGAUGAAGUAAAUAAAUGCUAAUCUCUAAAUUUUCGUCCGAACUGUGUGAAAAAUUUGGAAUGUGCAGGCGUCUCAUGCAAACAAGUACAGAGGACAGAAUAUGGAAUCGUGCAGCGUGCUUAACCGAAUGAAUAUUUAUAUGUUUUUUUACUACUCUCGGAGCUGUACUCGGUCGAGCCUCAUCGCGCAAUGGGAAACGCUUUGUUUGGAUGCGAUUCGCCCCCUCCUUUCGGUUUCAUUCUCAUUUUGUGGACUUUGACGCAUACGAAGACGAUUUCAUGAUGGUCGCGCUGCGCUACAUCUGCCGUUGACGUUCGCGCGCAGCGGAGAGAGCAGAAACUCGAGGGAAUGGCGCGUGUGAACAGUUUGCACCUCUGACUUGAGCGUCUCGGGCUCUCAGGAAAGGAGCAGUCCAGGAGCCAAAGCAAAAGAAGCACUCGAGAAUCAUUGUUGGAGGAAAAUGGAGACGGAUAACCGAAAUCGAACGAUCGAGAUGCCAAUGCCCGCGUGAGUCGAUGUACUACUGCAGCGAGUGCGAAUUAUCGGAGUCGAAGAAACUUCGAAUUGUAGGCGCCCACUCUCUCGGGAGCAAUGGAAAAAAAUUCAGUCGAAAGCUUCGUUCCUCGUCUCCAACGAGCUGGCGGCCUCGGACUCCAACGAUUACAGCCACAAUAAACAAAACUAUGAAUUAUGGGAGGCGUGCGUUCAAUGGCGAGGUUGAAUAAAAGUGCCGGGUGCGAUGACAUCUAACAGCUGUUUAUUUUCUGCCUCUUCUCUGUUUUGGCCGGAAGUGGCGCCAAAGCGGACACCACUGUGAGCGGCUCAUCGCUCCCUCUCUCUUCGCUUCUCCCUCUCUGCGGUUUCGAUCACGGUCUCUUCGACCAAGAGAUUCUGUUGGACGUUCGAGCCCCUCCGCCUUAUUCGUGUUUCCGGUUCAUCAGAGAAGAGAUAAUAGAGCAUUCUUCCCCAUAAACAGUGGACCCUCGUGAGGUCGAAGGCGAUUCAGCGAUUCAGAGCUUCGGAACGACUCAAAAUCUUCUCAGCCCGCAAGUACUCGAAGAAAAUACGAUCCAAGAAUGAUGGAGUCGCUCCGUGUCCUGGAAUCGUAUUGCAACAAUCGAAUAAAUUCGACGCUACAGAAAAAUUUGAUACGACUUUGGAUCUGUGGGGAUGCGAUUCGGAGUACCUCGGACAGAUAAACAUAGAAGAAUCCGAUUCCGCACGUGUGUGUUUUCGUCGUACGACGUGUGGAUCUCUCUUGUCCAUGCGCGGAGAGCAGACGCACACAAAUCGUAAAUUGUGGUGUCUAUUGUUCGAAGAUGUUUGAUCUCGCGCUUGGACAGUGUGGGCGAUGAGGAAUGUUCCAGUUGCGUGUGCUACAGCUCGUAGGCAUAUUACAGUCGUUUCGCUGCUCACUCGUAACUCGUACGUCACUCGAUACCUAUGACUUAUACAAAGGUUAUGAUAUACCCAGCACGAUACUUUAUAUAUAAACAUAUAUUUUAUACCAUUCGAUCAUUUAUUUUCCACAAUUCAUGCAUCUGCGUAUAAGCUCGAGCAAAAGUUGCAUGCUAAGCUGCCAUGAAACUUCUUUGUCAUAUCUCUGAGGGACAAAAGUCCUUUUUUUCUCAUUUCAAUAUUAAAAAACAGCUCUGAAGAGACAAGCGUAAAGAGAAACUUGUGAACGGUGCAUCGGAAAAGGAAAC